rnacentral:rRNA from 1 species
GAUGAACGCUGGCGGCGUGCCUAAUACAUGCAAGUCGAGCGAACAGACGAGGAGCUUGCUCCUCUGACGUUAGCGGCGGACGGGUGAGUAACACGUGGAUAACCUACCUAUAAGACUGGGAUAACUUCGGGAAACCGGAGCUAAUACCGGAUAACAUGUUGAACCGCAUGGUUCAACAGUGAAAGACGGUUUUGCUGUCACUUAUAGAUGGAUCCGCGCCGCAUUAGCUAGUUGGUAAGGUAACGGCUUACCAAGGCAACGAUGCGUAGCCGACCUGAGAGGGGGAUAGCCCACACUGGAACUAGGCCCCGUCCCUGACACCUGCGGGAGGAGGAGGUAGGGAAUCUUCCGCAAUGGGCGAAGGCCGGACGGAGCAACCCGGCGGGAGUGAGGAAGGUCUUGGGAUCGAAAAACUGUUUUUUGAGGGAAAAACAAAUGUGUAAGAAUCUAUGCGCGUCUGGACGUUCCUUAAGAAAAAAGCCACGGCUACCUACGUC